AGUGAACGCUGGCGGUAGGCCUAACACAUGCAAGUCGAACGGCAGCACAGAGGAGCUUGCUCCUUAGGUGGCGAGUGGCGGACGGGUGAGGAAUACAUCGGAAUCUACUCUGUCGUGGGGGAUAACGUAGGGAAACUUACGCUAAUACCGCAUACGACCUACGGGUGAAAGCAGGGGACCUUCGGACCUUGCGCGAUUGAAUGAGCCGAUGUCGGAUUAGCUAGUUGGCGGGGUAAAGGCCCACCAAGGCGACGAUCCGUAGCUGGUCUGAGAGGAUGUUCAGCCACACUGGAACUGAGACACGGUCCAGACUCCUACGGGAGGCAGCAGUGGGGAAUAUUGGACAAUGGGCGCAAGCCUGAUCCAGCCAUACCGCGUGGGUGAAGAAGGCCUUCGGGUUGUAAAGCCCUUUUGUUGGGAAAGAAAUCCAUCUGGUUAAUACCCGGGUGGGAUGACGGUACCCAAAGAAUAAGCACCGGCUAACUUCGUGCCAGCAGCCGCCGCAG
rnacentral:rRNA from 1 species